UGGGGAAUUUUGGACAAUGGGCGAAAGCCUGAUCCAGCAAUGCCGCGUGUGUGAAGAAGGCCUUCGGGUUGUAAAGCACUUUUGUCCGGAAAGAAAUCCUUGGCUCUAAUACAGUCGGGGGAUGACGGUACCGGAAGAAUAAGCACCGGCUAACUACGUGCCAGCAGCCGCGGUAAUACGUAGGGUGCAAGCGUUAAUCGGAAUUACUGGGCGUAAAGCGUGCGCAGGCGGUUUGCUAAGACCGAUGUGAAAUCCCCGGGCUCAACCUGGGAACUGCAUUGGUGACUGGGCAGGCUAGAGUAUGGCAGAGGGGGGUAGAAUUCCACGUGUGAGCAGUGAAAUGCGUAGAGAUGUGGAGGAAUACUGAUGGCGAA
rnacentral:rRNA from 1 species